GGGCUGGGACCUCACAUAUGCAUAAUUUCACUGCUUAAGCUACCAAGUUUGUGGGGUCUCCAGGAGGUGAGACCAUGGAAUAAAUGGGAUCGAAUUGUCUCUCCUCCCAAAACAACAAAUAAUUUCGACAAGAAACCCAACUCAAGUCAUAAUCUACAGAUGAAAGAUCUGCAGCCUCAGGUUCCAGAUGCUAGCAGGAUGCCAAUCAGACUUCCCUGGACAGACAACUCUACAAAUGUGUCCUGGAGCUUGAUUCCCCAGAGCCCCUGCCCCACUAGGGAAAGACAGAGGCAGGCUGGGAGUAUGGAUCGACCUGUCAAUGCCCAUGUUCAGCAGGGAAGCAAUUACAGAAGCCAGACCUUACACCUUCUGCACCCUAUAAUGAUCCUGGGUCCAUACUCCCACAGGGCUAAAGAAUAGGAAAGCUAUCAAGGGAGGGGAGGGGAUAUGGAGUUCUGGUGGU